rnacentral:rRNA from 1 species
UGAAUACGAGACGCUAAGGCGUCGAAGUAGUGUAUGUCAUACUUCCAAGAAAAGCUUGCACUGUCAUAGAUAAAAAACGCCUGUACCAUAACCGACACAGGUGGGUAGGUAGAGUAUACUAAGGGGCGCGAGAUAACUCUCUCUAAGGAACUCGGCAAAAUAACUCCGUAACUUCGGGAGAAGGAGUGCCUUAUUCGUAAGGUUGCAAUAACAAGAUCCAAGCAACUGUUUAUCAAAAACACAGGUCUCCGCUAAGUCGUAAGACGAUGUAUGGGGGCUGACGCCUGCCCAGUGCCAGAAGGUUAAAGAAGUUGGUUAGCAAUUGCGAAGCUGAUAACUGAAGCCCUGGUGAACGGCGGCCGUAACAAUAACGGUCCUAAGGUAGCGAAAUUCCUUGUCGGGUAAGUUCCGACCCGCACGAAAGGCGUAAUGAUUUGGAUACUGUCUCGGAGAGGGGCUCGGUGAAAUAGACUUGUCUGUGAAGAUGCGGACUACCUGCACCAGGACAGAAAGACCCUAUGAAGCUUUACUGUAACUUGAAAUUGAAAUUGGACUUUAUUCGCGCAGUAUAGGUGGGAGGCGUUGAUUAUAAUCUUGUGGGAUUAUUGGAGCCAUCAGUGAGAUACCACUCUUGUAAUGUUAGAUUUCUAACUUUGAAUCAUUAUCUGGUCAAAGAACAGUUUCAGGCGGGCAGUUUGACUGGGGCGGUCGCCUCCUAAACGGUAACGGAGGCGUACAAAGGUUUCCUCUGAACGGUUAGAAAUCGUAUCUAGAGUGUAAAGGCAUAAGGAAGCUUGACUGUGAGACCUACAAGUCGAGCAGGGACGAAAGUCGGUCUUAGUGAUCUGACGGUACUGAGUGGAAAGGCCGUCACUCAACGGAUAAAAGUUACUCUAAGGAUAACAGGCUGAUCUCCCCCAAGAGCUCACAUCGACGGGGAGGUUUGGCGCCUCGAUGUCGGCUCAUCGCAUCCUGGGGCGGUAGUACGUCCCAAGGGUUGGGCUGUUCGCCCAUGAAAGCGGUACGCGAGCUGGGUUCAGAACGUCGUGAGACAGUUCGGUCCAUAUCCGGUGUAGGCGUUAGAAUAUUGAGAGGAGCCUUCUUUAGUACGAGAGGACCGAGGAGGACAUACCUCUGGUGUACCAGUUAUCGUGCCAACGGUAAACGCUGGGUAGCUAUGUAUGGAGUGGAUAACCGCUGAAAGCAUCUAAGUGGGAAGCCCACCUCAAGAUAAGUAUUCUC